UAUUUAAAUUUAUUAUUGAAAGACAAUUAGAAUUAAUAAUACAAUAUAUUAUAUAAAAGUAUUUAUACAUUUUUAAAUUUUAGAUUCCUUGGUAUAAGUAACUUGGUUAUGCCUUUAUCCCUCGAUUAAUUCGCAUAAAACGUAGCUGAUAAUCGAACGUUCACUUUUCGACGAGAUACUUGCUACUUCAAUGGCGUAAGAAUUAUGCGAAAGUUCCUCUUGUCGCGGUUGAUGGCGCUGUGAUGUGGAUGUGGGUAAGCCGACAAUUUCAACGGAACCAAUGAAGUUACGACUUCCACCGGUAGAAACGACGGUUUAACUGCGCGUAUAAACUGCUACCUUCAGAAAUGUUGUCAAACUUCAACGUUCGCCCUCUUUCACAACCGUUCGAACUAUUAAACUGUGCUAACAUUUUGCACCUGUCGUGGAUCGAGUGAUUGCGUCACGUGAUGAGCAUUAACGAUAAUUGAUUAGACCUUUUUGCAAAGAUUUCGGUUUUGCUGGAAAGACUCGGAAUUUAGUAAUUGAAUUUCACUUUUUCUGCCCGAAUGACGGUGAUAUAUCGCAACUCAUCAGCAUCUCAUAUUCUGCGAGAGAUAAAUUCAUCGUGAGAGUGACUUAAACUUAUCCACAAGAAAAGUGAAUAGAUACGUUUUCUAGAAACUCGGCUCAAUUUAAUCAGUCAGUGUAAUCUGAUCCUAUUGACAAAGGCAGUGAGUUGUUUGGUUAAUUAUAAGGAGAGCAAACGAGAAAGACAUAACCUACAAUACAAUAAUUCAGAUCCUAGAUUAUUUCUCUUAGAUUAAUCAGGUUUUUAUUUCAGAUCCUUUUAAAAAAAUGAAAUACUGAGACAAUCAACUUUAUACGAGAUUUUCGGUGUACCUCGAAUUUCAACGCGAUUUUCGAUCGGAAGUAUUAAAGGAAAGGUCGUUAAGCUCGUGCACAGAAAGGGUCCAAAGGAUCCUUGUAUAACUUAUUUACCAACGUUCGCAUAUAGAGAUAGAUUCGGUAAACUACAGGUAAUUAUCCCGUAGUCUUGGAUCGCCACAAAGGAUCUUAAGGGACGCCUUUGAUUGAAUAGGGUUUGGCGUGUACACACGAAGGAAGGCGCAAGAUUGCAACGGGGAUUAAAAUAUUUCAAAAGGCCAGGGGUGGCCAGGUUUUCGGCCAAACGCGUAGAGUAAUGGUUCUUUUAAAUUUCUAAGCUGACCCAGAUACCCGCGCGGGUCGAGAGACAGAAGGUGUGUACACGAGCCACUCCUGUGAGAUCUUGCUUGAAGCAAGAUAAAAAAAAAAAGAAGCCUCCUCUUUCUCUUUAACGAUCAAGAAUUUCUUUUGGCGAUCUUUCUGCGGUAUUCAUAUUAAUGGUCGUUGGCGUCUUCCAAAGGGUGAUCACGUUUCUGCUGUAGCUGUAUUUCAACCUCGAUGUCGGCGGGGAUAAUCGUUUCAAGUGACCGUGGUAAUUAUUCGCAAACCGUUUUCAAAGCGUCUUGCCUUGGAAUUGGGUCGAGUUUAUUCCGUUUCGAGGGACGGAUAAAGAAUCUUGAGAAUAUCGGGAAUUUGAUUAUGUAAAAAUAUCGGACGAGAAAGAAUGUAUAUAGUUUCGUAGAAUUGUUAAAUAUGCAUUCGUGGGAGAAAAGAGACUUUAUCGACUUGAGGUAACUUUUCAUUUAAUUAAGAAUCUUGACAGAUGUAUUAUUAAUCGUGAAAAGUAAGAAAAGAAACUAUCUCGUGAUAUAUGAACCGUUUAAAACUUGAUCAAACUCUAUUAAAAUUAGAAAAAAUUUGAACCAUUGCAAUUCCGAAAAUAGCGACUUCCGGUCAACGAAUGAAAGAUCGUUGGAAGCGUGGAACUUUACCCUUUAAAACGAAUCUUCGUUCGUCACGAUACGACUUCCGGUUCUCGAGAUAUCAUCGUGUAAAGAAAAGGUAAUUUUCAAUCAUUUAUCUCGAAUCCCAUUGAAUUCUGUUAUUGAAAUUAGGAAAAGUUUGUAACCGCUGUAACUUUGAAAAUAAUAACUUUCGAACAACGAAUAAAAGAUCAUUAGAAUCGUGAAAUCUUGCUCUUUAAAACGGUUUCUCAUUCGUCACAAUACGUCUUCCGGUUCCUGAGAUAUCGUCGUAUAAAGAAAACCGUAAUUUUUAAUCGUUCAUCGUCUCGUUUACCGACCUAUCCUUACCGACUUAUUCCAAGCUUCGAACAAGCGGCAGAAACGGUUCGUAGAAAAAUAUAAUUAUUUCGUCUUUCUUCGUGAUGCGUAUAUAUAAAUUAAUCGUACGUGAUUUUUAUUUUUUAUACAAUUUAUAUCAAUAAUCCGAGAGGAAGGGAAGAAAUUAGAAAAAAAUAAAAGAAUGAAAUUAUAAAGAUUUGUGUUUGAAAACAUAUUUCAAUAUUUACGCGAGUGUUUACUUGGACAAUCGUAGCGUUGGUCAUUUUUCCUUCGCGCAACUCCACCCUAUAUUUACAAGAGUUCGCGCUUUGUCAUUGUUUUCCCUCGACUCGUAUUUCUCCAUUCCACCAGCCUCUUUCUUUUCUUCUUUUUUUUUUUUUCCUGUUGUUGAAAACCAACAGGGAAUUGGAACAAUGAGCUCGUUUAUAGUGACGAUUUAAUUUCGUUAAUUAACCGGGCACUUUGCUUCCAAGCGAAAACAAUUACGAUAUAGAAAAAAAAACUAAAAACAUGAUUCGUAUAAAAAAUUUUUAACCUCCAUUUAGAAAUAAUAACAUAAUUUUUUUGUUUUGUUUUCAAACAACAACGUUCGUCGCAACAACAAUAAUUUUAACGUGAUGCAGUAUUUCUAGGAAAAUAUGAACGUUCCUCGUUAAAUUGGAAUAACAAUGCAAUUCUAACUUGUGCCAUUUAUUCUUAUAUUCGUUUCAUUGAAAGCUAAUGGAAAAGAAUUUAUGGAUUUACGCGUAUUUUCUGAUGGAAGGAAAAAAUAAAUCGUUUGUAAUAAAACAACGAGGAUAAAAAUAAAAAUGAACGGGAAAUAUAUUUUAUUGCAAAUU